rnacentral:misc_RNA from 1 species
UAUCAUCCCUCAAGCCUGGCUUGUCGUUGGACCCCUGGGUGGUGCGAGUCACCCGGUCCCAAAGAUAAUGACGGUGUCCGUAGAACCCUCGGUACAAUGAGCUUUGUUAAGCACGUACCGGCACGGGCUCGCGGACCCGGUCUGUCACCAUAAAUUUUCAGGUUGACCUCGGAUCAGGUAGGGAUACCCGCUGAACUUAA